GGCUCAGGAUGAACGCUAGCGACAGGCUUAACACAUGCAAGUCGAGGGGCAGCAUAAAGUAGCAAUACUUGGUGGCGACCGGCGCACGGGUGAGUAACGCGUAUGCAACCUACCUAUCAGAGGGGAAUAACCCGGCGAAAGUCGGACUAAUACCGCAUAAAACAGGGACACCGCAUGGUGAUAUUUGUUAAAGAAAUUCGCUGAUAGAUGGGCAUGCGUUCCAUUAGGUAGUUGGUGAGGUAACGGCUCACCAAGCCGACGAUGGAUAGGGGAACUGAGAGGUUGGUCCCCCACACUGGUACUGAGACACGGACCAGACUCCUACGGGAGGCAGCAGUGAGGAAUAUUGGUCAAUGGGCGAGAGCCUGAACCAGCCAAGUCGCGUGAAAGGAAGAAGGAUCUAUGGUUCGUAAACUUCUUUUGCAGGGGAAUAAAGUGCAGGACGUGUCCUGUUUUGUAUGUACCCUGAGAAUAAGGAUCGGCUAACUCCGUGCCAGCCGCAGC
rnacentral:rRNA from 1 species